rnacentral:rRNA from 1 species
AUGCUAUACACGUCUGCACACAACUUGAUCCGUGGAUACAUAGCUAUACAUUACAUGUUAACUUUGUCGCCUGAAGAUGGAGGAGCAAACUCUGCUAUAGUUGAGUAUUUUGGAGCAUAUUAUUUUACAAGAUCUCAACAGCACAAAGGCAAAAAAGAAAUUACAGUGGCUGGCUCCUGCCGAAAAAAUGAUUUAUGUCAUUACUAUAUUUUGCAGAAAAGAAUGCCUUCCUCCCUCCGUCGCAUCUCCAGGUCUGAAGAAGAUCAACGCCCUUACUGGGUGUUGCAAAUCCUUGUGACAUCAAUUACUGCAAAAGAAUGA